UAGGAAGCUAAACCCUUUGUUAUCUCUGGUUGCAGAAGAGAAUGCUGUGCAGGGAACGGAAAAUGGGAAGUUUCAGGCAGCUGUCUGAACAGAGAAAAUGCAUAAAAUCUCGUUUGGCCAGUUCCUUGAGAAAAAGUGUAACAUUGUAAACGGAAGGCUCACUGGGUCCAGAGAGGUUAGUCGGCCCUCAUUCCAAAGGC
rnacentral:lncRNA from 1 species